GUAAGUGAGAAGACUACAGCAUAUGAGAAAUGCAAUAACACAGUCAAAAUAUUUGACUUUUCCUCUUAAAAAAACACAUGUCAAUAAUCUACAUGUCUGGCCCUUGAUGUGAUUCUUAUUUUCCAGUGUGGCCUUCUGGGAAACGGAGUUUGACCCCCCCUGCUGUAGACCUUCUAACCCUUUUGAGUUGUCUUGUGUCUGACGUGUAGAAAUACAGAUGUUGUUCUGCUGUGUGGCCACCGGGCGGCGCUCUUCACUCAUUAACAACCGUUUGUUCCUCCUCAGGACGAGGAAGACGAUGGAGACUAUGUGGAGGAAGAGGAGGAAGACGAGGAGGAAGAGGAAGAUGGAGAUGUGGACGGUGCAGAUGUUCAGGGAGAGAAGAGGAAGAGAGACGCAGAGGACGACGGUGACGACGACGACGAUGAAUAGUCCCCUCCUCUUCCUCCAUCUUCCUCCCCUCUUCCUCCAGUGACCUUUGACAGACGGCAGCUUCACCAGCUCUUGCUGCUGUUUCCCUGGUAACCAGAUGAGAUCACAGAGCAGAACUCCGCUCUGAUUGGACCACACAUCAAUCAAUCAAAUCACUAACACACAAGUUGUUUCAAGUCUCAGAACUCCAUUCACAACUCUCCCGAUCCACAGACUUCACGGUGGAAAGUUACUCCGUACUUUUUCUAUUUUACACCAAAAAAAACUUGUUUCCACAAACGUAAAACCCCCAAAACUCGGCUUUUCUCUGCACUUUUGUAAAGUUCUGUAAAAUACUAAUUCCUACGUCGGAAACCUCAACGCUGCUGAGAUAAGUGGCGUUUCUACGACCUUUUUCAACCUAAGAAACGACUUUAAGUCGAUAAGAUAAAGAGCAUUUAAGCAGUUUUUAAAAGUUAAUCUCAGAUGGAGAUGUGGAGAGACCAACGCGGCUUUUAGGGGUUUUAUUCACUUUUAUAAGUUGCUAUAAAAACGUCUCUUUUUACGUUGAAAAAGGUCGUAGAAACGCCACUUUUCUCAGCGUUGUUGUGAGGUUUCUGACAUAGAAAACUGUAUUUUACGGCACAUUAUCGCUGAGAAAACGGGCGUUUCUACGACUUUUUUUGUCAACGUAGAAAGCCCGGUUUUACGGCAACAAAUUAUGCCGAAUAAACAGUUUUUAAAUGUUUUUUGUGAGGGUAUUUAUCCGACAUCUUUCAGGCUGAACGGAGCUGAGCUCUGAUUGGCUGCUGAGCUGUGAUUGACUGCAGAGCUGAGCUGUGAUUGGCUGCAGAGCUGAGCUGUGAUUGGCUGCAGAGCGAGUCUGAUUUUAAAUUUUCACGGACUUUUCAGACUCGACUUUGUUCAAAAGUAAAAAAAUGUAGUCAAACAAAUAAAUACACAGUAAUAUAAUAAUUAUACAGUGUGGUGUUGUACUUUUACUUCAGCGAGUAAUCAGAGUACUUCUUCACUUAUAAGAUCGGGAGUUUCUGAUGUUAAAAUUCCUCCUUUUCUUCCUGCGGUCUGGUCUGUGACUAAAGACUACAUUACCCAUGAGCCUCUGCUCUCUGAUUGGCUGAUUGGGGCAGCAGUGGGCUGUGAGGCUACAUCCACACGGCUACGUUUGGGUUUCAAGACGACUCUCUUCUGCGGCGUUUCCGAGCUCGUAAAACGGAGACGUUUGAUUGGUGAACUCUACGGUAGUUUUGUAGUCCGGACGGACACAAACGGGCUGUUUGACAUUUAAAAAAACCCCAAAAAAUCACUGUUUUCUGAUGCUUUUUUUUACCCUUUUUUCUGAUUUCUUUGACACUUUUUUUCAACACGUUUGUUGCUUCGUGGAAUGUUUUUCAUGCGUCAUUUUCACGGCUUUUCCCGACGUUUCUGACUUCUACGUUUUGGUUUCAAUGACACGCCAAUUCUAAGCCAUUAUUGGCGUGUUAUCAAGACGCAUACUCGCUUUUUAGCGUGUUUAUCAACGCCGUUUGGCCUCCAUUGACCUACCGGCAAUUUCCACUGGAUGCAGAACGUCGACGGAGUCAUUAGGUUUCCAUUAAAAUCAGCAGUUCAGCACACGGCAGAUAGUAGGGACAGGAAGUCGAGCACAGAAACAAAAUAAAAAUCCGGUUAAUUUUCAAAAUAAAUCCAGCGUGCUCACGGCGGAUCAUAUUUCCCUGCACUACACCUUGAAAACACAGCUCAGAGUAGUUUCCCCUCUACUCCUCUGGAUGAAACUAACUGGUGCUGGUUUUGUGGUUCUAUUCUACGUGAAUUCGUGAGAUCUCGUGGGUCCUCGUGACUACAGCUGUCAGUCAUGGCCGCAGCCGUGCCGCAACAAAUCCAGACCUGGUGGGUGUUGACGGACGGCGGAGCACGCAGCCGUUCAGCAGCGGAGCUGCAACGAUGAAUCGAUUAGUUGUCAACUAUUAAAUUAAUCGCCAACUAUAACGAAUUAAUCGUUUGAGCCAAAUUCUGGCUCACAUCUAGGUGGGCCGAAAUCUGUUGUGAACGUAAAUUGACAUAUGGGCAG
ensembl:lncRNA